CUCCAGUUCCCGUAAACCCACCUGUUCCAAUCUAUAAACCUCCACCAGUUCCAGUCUAUAAACCUCCUCCAGUUCCAGUAAAACCACUUCCUCCACCUGUUCCGAUCUACAAACCUCCACCAGUUGAAAAACCACAUCCUCCACCUGUUCCAAUCUACAAACCUCCACCAGUUGAAAAACCACAUCCUCCACCUGUUCCAAUCUACAAACCUCCACCAGUUGAAAAACCACAUCCUCCACCUGUUCCAGUUUAUAAACCUCCACCAGUUGAAAAACCACAUCCUCCACCUGUUCCAGUCUAUAAACCUCCACCAGUUCCAGUAUAUAAGAAACCAUGUCCUCCACCAGUUCCAGUCUAUAAAUCUCCUCCGGUUCCAGUAUACAAGAAACCGCAUCCUCCUCCAGUUCCAGUCUAUAAGAAACCACAUCCACCUCCAGUUCCAGUAUACAAGAAACCAUGUC
rnacentral:lncRNA from 1 species